rnacentral:misc_RNA from 1 species
GGAAGAGAAGCUAUCUCAUUUUCCAAAAUGGAAUAAGCAUCCGCAAAUGCCUUGAUGCAUUGGUGUAUGCGAAAGCAGUUCCGCCCCACAUUAUUGGUUGGGUACAGAGGAUCAUCAAUGCAAAUUGGAUCAAUGCUGCACCCUCGUUCUCUAUUUAUGUAUAAGCCGCUUCCCUGUAUUGAGACACGUAUUUGACGAGGAUCAAACACAUUCCCAAAGAAGUAGAAAAAGUCCAUCAGGAGGCUCCCCAAGUUUUGAUCAAUUGGUCGACUGUGAUGAUGUUCAUGCUGCAAAAACCGUGUGAUCAAUAGUACUAGACAAUAUGAACUUAAACCGCCUGAAUAUGACUGGUCAAGACUGCGAUCUGCUAGGAACUGUUUUAGCACCAAAGCAAGAGGUGUGGUAGCAGGAAACUGUUCUGUGAGCUCUUUUACCAGCUCUGUGGUCUGUAAUCCUGUAUGAGAAGGCGAUUUGAAACUAAUAUCAAGUCGAACUGCUUUUACAUCCUUCACACAUUCAUUCAUCUUAGACCACUGUGGUGAAGAUGAGGAAUCCGAACAAGUCGAAUCAGCCUGAAAAGUAUUGCCUUCUUCAACAGUCAACUCAGUUGGUUCAGCUUUUGGUGUUUGUAAAUUUGAUAGAGACGACGAAAUGAGGUCAUGUGGAACUUCCACCACAAGCAUUAUAAUUGGUAUAGCAGUAUUUUCCACGAUCUUCAGAGAAUCAUUUUUUACCCACUCCUGGUUAGCCAGAUAUCUAGCUGCAUGCUGAAGGCAUGUUUCUUUGAUCCCAUUUCGCCCCUCUAAGAUCCCAGCUUCUUUAAUUGGUUCCAGAUUCCUCACAGGAGGAAGAGAGACCACAAGGUCCACAUCACUCGAUGGGAGUGACAACCCAGUAGCGUUUGAACCAAAAAUGUUUGUACGCGAUCUAGGCCAUAAUACUUGUAGAGAACGUGCAACGCGCUUUACAGCCCAAUUAAUGUAAGGCUUCCUGAUCAGAUUCUCAGAGGCAACCUGUUUACAGAAGUUCUCAAUUUCAUUGUGAAGGCGACUAUGGAUCAUUGAGAGACAUGCCUUCUUUGCAGUAGAGUUCAGCGUUUCGGGAGGUUGAAGUGGGAACGCAACAUCUGGAUGUUCUUGAUCGCGAGUUAACUGUGAAAUUGCGAUUAGGCGGUCCUGCAGCAAAGCUCCAGGUAGAGGUUGCGUUAACUGAUGGGCUGAGAGACUUUUACUCCUCCAAGCAGGCCAAACUACUUCACUACCAUCCAUGCGUAUACAGGCUUCUUCAAAAUUAAUUCCAUCAUGGAACCAACCUUUGACACCCCACUGCCUAGGGCUGGAGCUACCAGACCGAACUGUUGGAAAACCUCUGUGCCUUCUAGAAUCACCAACUGGAGAAGGAGGAGGCGGAUGAGGAGCACGUGGAACACAGAGGACAACAGGUGAUGGAGGCCUCUUGAUCCUAGGUUGCUCCCGCCUACUGGGAGGAACACAAGGACUUUUAUGAUCAUGACUGCGCUUAAAAUCUGAUCUUGA